rnacentral:lncRNA from 1 species
UAUUUUCAUGGACGGUAAAUGCAACCCUGGGUGCAUCAUUAAUGAGCUGAAAAACCAAAACAAAUAAUUAAAUAAGUGCGUGCGUCUAAAAGUUUCGGAACAAAUUGUGGAUUAAAGCCUUUCGAAAGUGAUAAAUAACGUAAAAAGGAAGAUGCCGAAAAGGUGUGUAUCCAGAUGUCCAGAACAAGGAUCCUUGUAUAAGUUUCCAUCGGAGGGAGAAAUGCCAAG